CUCGCCACCUCCCGCGGUCGCCUCGGCGCCAGCUCGGGGCUCAGGCCUGAGGGGGCCGGGGUCCCGCGGCGCUGCCCGCCCCGCCAGGUUUUCAGCCCGCCGCCGCCUGAGGCGAGAGGUAGCCAUCCAGAGCCUGCAACGCUCGGAGACCAAACCCGUCCGCCUCCCCGGGGACCCGCGCGCUGUGUACCCCGGGCGUCCCCGCUGUUGGAUGGAGAAACUGAGGCCCAGAGAAAGUCACCCAGGUCCAUCUAUGCUGUUGCAAAAGGCAAAGACCGUGUCUCUUAAGCCGAGAAAGCAGAACGAGAAUCUUCCCUGUCCUCCUAGCAUCCAGAUGGGGCUCCAGGAGGGUUGUGGCGCCCAGGCAGCCUCUUCCACGCAAGUCCCAGUCAUGCUGACAUGCAAGCCUGUCUGCAGUGUCGCUGAGCCAGCUGUUGUUCCCUCCACCCA